AGAUCUUCGGAUCUAGUGGCGGACGGGUUAGUAACGCGUGGGAACGUACCCUUCACUACGGAAUAGUCCCGGGAAACUGGGUUUAAUACCGUAUACGCCCUUCGGGGGAAAGAAUUUCGGUGAGGGAUCGGCCCGCGUUAGAUUAGUUAGUUGGUGGGGUAAUGGCCUACCAAGACUACGAUCUAUAGCUGGUUUGAGAGGAUGAUCAGCAACACUGGGACUGAGACACGGCCCAGACUCCUACGGGAGGCAGCAGUGGGGAAUCUUAGACAAUGGGGGCAACCCUGAUCUAGCGAUGCCGCGUGAGUGAUGAAGGCCUUAGGGUCGUAAAGCUCUUUCGCCUGUGAUGAUAAUGACAGUAGCAGGUAAAGAAACCCCGGCUAACUCCGUGCCAGCAGCCGCGGUAAUACGGAGGGGGUUAGCGUUGUUCGGAAUUACUGGGCGUAAAGCGCACGUAGGCGGAUUAGUCAGUCAGAGGUGAAAUCCCAGGGCUCAACCCUGGAACUGCCUUUGAUACUGCUAGUCUUGAGUUCGAGAGAGGUAAGUGGAAUUCCGAGUGU
rnacentral:rRNA from 1 species